UGAGUAGCACUACGCUACUCAAUGUGAUACAAUUUGAGAGAUAUAAGAGAAAAAUGAGCAGAGUCCCUGCACAAGAAUGCCAUGAAGUUCAUGAAGCAUUCCAUUUUGUU